rnacentral:tRNA from 2 species
GGGCGAUUAGCUCAGCUGGUAGAGCGCUUCGUUUACACCGAAGAUGUCGGGAGUUCAAGUCUCUCAUCGCCCACCA